CAGGCUUAACACAUGCAAGUCGAGGGGCAUCAGGAAGAAAGCUUGCUUUCUUUGCUGGCGACCGGCGCACGGGUGAGUAACACGUAUCCAACCUGCCCUUUACUCGGGGAUAGCCUUUCGAAAGAAAGAUUAAUACCCGAUAGCAUAAUGAUUCCGCAUGGUUUCAUUAUUAAAGGAUUCCGGUAAAGGAUGGGGAUGCGUUCCAUUAGGUUGUUGGUGAGGUAACGGCCCACCAAGCCUUCGAUGGAUAGGGGUUCUGAGAGGAAGGUCCCCCACAUUGGAACUGAGACACGGUCCAAACUCCUACGGGAGGCAGCAGUGAGGAAUAUUGGUCAAUGGGCGCUAGCCUGAACCAGCCAAGUAGCGUGAAGGAUGAAGGCUCUAUGGGUCGUAAACUUCUUUUAUAUAAGAAUAAAGUGCAGUAUGUAUACUGUUUUGUAUGUAUUAUAUGAAUAAGGAUCGGCUAACUCCGUGCCAGCAGCCGCGGUAAUACGGAGGAUCCGAGCGUUAUCCGGAUUUAUUGGGUUUAAAGGGAGCGUAGGUGGACUGGUAAGUCAGUUGUGAAAGUUUGCGGCUCAACCGUAAAAUUGCAGUUGAUACUGUCAGUCUUGAGUACAGUAGAGGUGGGCGGAAUUCGUGGUGUAGCGGUGAAAUGCUUAGAUAUCACGAAGAACUCCGAUUGCGAAGGCAGCUCACUGGACUGCAACUGACACUGAUGCUCGAAAGUGUGGGUAUCAAACAGGAUUAGAUACCCUGGUAGUCCACACAGUAAACGAUGAAUACUCGCUGUUUGCGAUAUACAGUAAGCGGCCAAGCGAAAGCAUUAAGUAUUCCACCUGGGGAGUACGCCGGCAACGGUGAAACUCAAAGGAAUUGACGGGGGCCCGCACAAGCGGAGGAACAUGUGGUUUAAUUCGAUGAUACGCGAGGAACCUUACCCGGGCCUAAAUUGCAGUGGAAUGAUGUGGAAACAUGUCAGUGAGCAAUCACCGCUGUGAAGGUGCUGCAUGGUUGUCGUCAGCUCGUGCCGUGAGGUGUCGGCUUAAGUGCCAUAACGAGCGCAACCCUUAUCUUUAGUUACUAACAGGUUAUGCUGAGGACUCUAGAGAGACUGCCGUCGUAAGAUGUGAGGAAGGUGGGGAUGACGUCAAAUCAGCACGGCCCUUACGUCCGGGGCUACACACGUGUUACAAUGGGGGGUACAGAAGGCAGCUAGCGGGUGACCGUAUGCUAAUCCCAAAAUCCUCUCUCAGUUCGGAUCGAAGUCUGCAACCCGACUUCGUGAAGCUGGAUUCGCUAGUAAUCGCGCAUCAGCCACGGCGCGGUGAAUACGUUCCCGGGCCUUGUACACACCGCCCGUCAAGCCAUGGGAGCCGGGGGUACCUGAAGUACGUAACCGCAAGGAUCGUCCUAGGGUAAAACUGGUGACUGGG
rnacentral:rRNA from 1 species